rnacentral:tRNA from 1 species
GGGCCGUUAGCUCAGCCUGGUAGAGCACCGGACUUUUAAUCCGGGUGUCGUGGGUUCGAUCCCCACACGGCCUACCA